AAUUUAAUGAUAUGUUCUGCUUUCUCAAUUGUUUGUUUUCUAUCCUUUGUUCUGAUGUAAUGUUAAUUUUCAAAUGAGGGUCGAGGGUCUUUCAGCAAGUAAGACGACACAUUUCUCUAUUAUCUUAGAAGUUGUACUUUAGAAAAACAAAUUGGAUCAAUGUUGUGAAGACUGUGGUGCCUGAAGGCCAGUUACUAUGUAAAUAUUAUACCAGGUUAUUGAAAUCAAAGAAAUAUUGUGG